CCUACGGGUGGCAGCAGUGGGGAAUAUUGCACAAUGUGGGAAACCCUGAUGCAGCGACGCCGCGUGAAGGAAGAAGUAUCUCGGUAUGUAAACUUCUAUCAGCAGGGAAGAAAAUGACGGUACCUGACUAAGAAGCCACGGCUAACUACGUGCCAGCAGCCGUGGCAAUACGUAGGGGGCAAGCGUUAUCCGGAUUUACUGGGUGUAAAGGGAGCGUAGGCGGCGAUGCAAGUCAGAAGUGAAAGCCCGGGGCUCAACUCCGGGAGUGCUGUUGAAACUGUGUUGCUAGAGUGCAGGAGAGGUAGGUGGAAUUCCUGGUGUAGCGGUGAAAUGCAUAGAUAUUAGGAGGCACACCGAUGGCGAAGGCAGCUUACUGGACUGUAAAUGACGCUGAGGCUCGAAAGCGUGGGGAGCAAACAGGAUUAGAUACCCGAGUAGUC
rnacentral:rRNA from 1 species